rnacentral:tRNA from 1 species
GGCCCGUUCGUCUAUCGGACAGGAUGCCGCCCUUUCAAGGCGGCGAGGAGGGUUCGACUCCCUCACGGGCCG